UCUUGGAUUUAUGAAAGACGAACAACUGCGAAAGCAUUUGCCAAGGAUGUUUUCAUUAAUCAAGAACGAAAGUUGGGGGCUCGAAGACGAUCAGAUACCGUCCUAGUCUCAACCAUAAACGAUGCCGACCAGGGAUCGGCGGAUGUUGCUUAUAGGACUCCGCCGGCACCUUAUGAGAAAUCAAAGUCUUUGGGUUCCGGGGGG
rnacentral:ncRNA from 1 species